ensembl:lncRNA
AACCCAUGUGCCCGUCAACAGAUGAAUGGAUAAACAAAAUACUGUAUACAAGGGAAUAUUAUUCAGCUUUAAAAAUGAAGGAAAUUCGAACACACACUACAACAUGGAUGAACCUUGAGGACAUCGUACCAAGUGAAAUAAGCCAGACACAAAAAGACAACUACAUGAUUUCAUUUACAUGAGGUACAUAGUCAAAUUGUUAGAGAUAGAAAGCAGAAUGGUGGUUGCUAUGGGAUGGUGGGGAGGAUGAAUGGAGAGCUGUUGUUUAAUAGUAUAGAGUUUUAAUUUUGCAGGAUGAAAAGAGUUCUGAAGAUUGGUUGCCCCACAAUGUGAAUACACUUAAUGCUACUAAUCUGAACACUUAAAAAUGGCUAAGAUGGUAAAUUUUGUGUUGUGUAUGUUGUACCAGAAUUUGCUGAAAGUAGGGAGGCUGUGUUUCUUGUGUACCAUUGCAAGGCACUACAGCCUGGAUGCCUGUGAAAUUCCAAAUGAACAAUGAUAGAAGAGCUUUCAGAACCUAGUAUAGUUUUAGAAGAAAGAAGUGUUCAUACUCUACUUAUUAUUUAUUUCAAAGUUCUCUGGGAUGAGAAUUAUAAGCCAGUUACUCUAGACUUUUCUGAGAUUGAUACUAAUAUACACCCAUAUUGAUACUCAUAUAUUUACUGAUUCAUUUAUUCCACAAAAGUUGAUUGGAUGUCUAAUGUAUUCUAGGCAUGGGGCUGGAUAAUGAGGAAACAUUGGUAAGACAUUACUACCCCAGACCCCCGUAGGUCUUACAGUCUGACAGAUUGAAUCAAUUGACUUGGCCUUGUAAAAACUCUCAAAUAUUUGGGUUUUUCGCAGGACUUUUCUUUCAUGUUACUUCACACAGUCAUCCAUGAAUGCUGCAAUAACAACAGCAACAACAAUCACAACAAUCUCUGGGUGUUUUUAUAUACAUUUUUGUAUUUGGUUUGAUUUGAUUUGGUUUGAUUCUCAACUUCAAUCUUCUCUUCCUUUUAGAAUGCAAAUUUCUUGAGAAUAGGCCAGUAUUACUCACCUCAUAUCCUCUAAAAGGUCUCCAUAGCUAACAAAAUGCCUUAUACAUAUAACAGCAAAACACUUUUAAGAACCAUGCUGAGAAAACAUAGCUCUAUUUCUAGAACAAAGUAAUAACUACUGAUUUUGGGGUCCUGAAACUAUUCCAACCACCAAAGCAGAUUGCAAUAUGAUAAGGAAAUAUCUGUACCACAGUUUGGAAAAUACGUUUUAAAAUGCCAAUCGUGAUUCUUCCAGUUGCAUUGUGUAAUGUGGUCUCUUUUUAUGAAAGUUAUUUCUCUAUAAUAUUGCUAAUUCUGCAGUAAAUGCAACUCUAUAAUAUGUGAGAUUUAUUUGUAUGUACAAGUUUGCUUAUGACUCAGACCUCAUGCUGUGCAUGAAUAACACAUUUAUCACAUGGUCUGUGGAUUGGCUUUUAUAUAUAUCACACUCAAACCAGAAGAAAUAUCUAGAGUUGGGAAGGGAGUAGAGAAUAAGCAACGCCAUUGUUAGAAGUAUUGACUGUAACGAUCAUGAAUAGUAUUGUUGUCAUAUUGCCUAUUAAAAGAUCUUACAAUCAAAGGCCUCUAAACCAGAGUUAUGCGUUCAGAUCUAGCUAUUUAAUGAAAACCUAUUCUGAACAAAACGCCCCUCAUAUAUUAUUUCAUUCAUGCUUCAUAAUACAUUUCUGAUGGAGGCAUUCCUAGUUCAUUUUACAGAUGGGGAAACUGUGGACCAAGGUUGAAGGAUUUCCCAGUGUUUCACAGCCUCCAAGUCCAAUGCUGUUUCCACAUAUAAUACUCAAUUUAGAACAUUUUAUUGUGUUAGGAGACUUAAAAAAAAAAAA